rnacentral:rRNA from 1 species
UACUCCCGCCGGCGACCGGCGCACGGGUGAGUAACACGUAUGAAACCUGCCCGUAGCAGGGGGAUAAGCGGAAGAAAUUCCGUCUAAUACCGCGUAACAACCCGAGGAGGCAUCUCCUCGGGUUUAAAGGAAGCGAUUCCGGCUACGGAUGGUCAUGCGUCGCAUUAGCUUGUUGGCGGGGUAACGGCCCACCAAGGCGACGAUGCGUAGGGGUUCUGAGAGGAAGGUCCCCCACACUGGUACUGAGACACGGACCAGACUCCUACGGGAGGCAGCAG